AGAGUUUGAUCCUGGCUCAGAAUCAACGCUGGCGGCGUGCCUAACACAUGCAAGUCGCACGAGAAAGGGUCUUCGGAUCUGAGUAAAGUGGCGCACGGGUGAGUAACACGUGAAUCAUCUACCUUCGAGUGGGGAAUAACUGAGAGAAAUCUUAGCUAAUACCGCAUAAUACCUACGGGUCAAAGCAGCAAUGCGCUUGAAGAGGAGUUCGCGGCAGAUUAGUUAGUUGGCGGGGUAAUGGCCCACCAAGACGAUGAUCUGUAUCCGGCCUGAGAGGGCGCACGGACACACUGGAACUGAAACACGGUCCAGACUCCUACGGGAGGCAGCAGUGGGGAAUUUUGCGCAAUGGGGGAAACCCUGACGCAGCAACGCCGCGUGGAGGAUGAAAUAUCUUGGUAUGUAAACUCCUUUCGAUGGGGAAGAUUAUGACGGUACCCAU
rnacentral:rRNA from 1 species